AUUGAACGCUGGCGGCAUGCUUUACACAUGCAAGUCGAACGGUAACAGGCCGCAAGGUGCUGACGAGUGGCGGACGGGUGAGUAAUGCAUCGGAACGUGCCCAGUCGUGGUGGAUAACUACUCGAAAGAGUAGCUAAUACCGCAUACGAUCUAUGGAUGAAAGCGGGGGACCGUAAGGCCUCGCGCGAUUGGAGCGGCCGAUGUCAGAUUAGGUAGUUGGUGGGGUAAAGGCUCACCAAGCCAACGAUCUGUAGCUGGUCUGAGAGGACAAGCAGCCACACUGGGACUGAGACACGGCCCAGACUCCUACGGGAGGCAGCAGUGGGGAAUUUUGGACAAUGGGCGCAAGCCUGAUCCAGCAAUGCCGCGUGCAGGAAGAAGGCCUUCGGGUUGUAAACUGCUUUUGUACGGAACGAAACGGCGCUGGUUAAUACCCGGGGCUAAUGACGGUACCGUAAGAAUAAGCACCGGCUAACUACGUG
rnacentral:rRNA from 1 species